CAAGCAAUGGUUACCCCUUCACGGUAACUCCAAAACCUAACGAUCACCCCACACGAUGAUCUUGCUAUUGCUGAAUUUAAAUGGAUUAAGCCAAUUUACCAAAGCGAACCUAUCUGAGUCCGUAAAGUGGAGAAAAACGAACUUGCUGUUAAAUUUCAGUCGGUGUCGCAUCAGGGGCAAAAUCGUCCAACUUUUUCUGUGUAACCUGAAACACAAAACAAAGUAUAUCAGCGCGUUCAGGAGAUCGAAACAAGCAAGUUACCUGAAGACAGCGUCGCCGAACAGCCGCCCACGCGCUGCCGCCGUUGUCCACAUGCCACCUCUCCGGGAGCACCUCGACCUGCUAGUGAUGGGUAUGGCCUUCGUUUGUCCAACCGAGCUUUGGUUUGUGAGUAAUUGAUAAUUUUCAGAUUAGGGUUCUAAGUUUAAUGUCCGAAAAUCAGCCGAUUUUGAGCUUUUUGUGCUACCCAAGCUCUGAUACCAGAUGUUAGGAUCUUCCUCAAGCUGCUCAAAGUGAUUUUCGGGCUCAGUUAACCAUUAAACAUCGAAUUCAACACCAAAAUCGAGAUGACCGAUCGCCAGCGCCAAUUUCUUCCUAUGGUUGCUAUUGCUCUUUUGCUUUUUGAUUCUACCACACACUUAGGAUGGAUACCACACAGGUAAGAGUCACAAAGCCUCAAGCAAUUGGUAGGGAAGAUUAAUUGACAGGAUGUAUGAAGGAGAAGAAGAAGAAGAAUGCCUCUCUCUCUCGGGUUCUCUCAUGCACGGCACAAAGGAGAAGGAGAGAAUUACCAAUAUAUAUAUAUUAGUCCAAAGACCACUUAAGGUAAGUUAUAAUACGGUAAGUAGGUUCAACUAGGGUUAAGUCCCAGUAGCAAAACAACAAGCCACAAAGAUUAUUAGCCAUCCAAUAGGUAAAGCAACGCUAGGUCAGUUCAUCCAUUAUUCAGUGUUGAUUUAUUGUUCAGUCAUUCAUGUCGACUAAUAAAAUUGGUUUUCAUCAUCGUCCGGGAGGUCGUUUGACAACAUGAUGUCUAACAUGGAGAAUGACAAUUCUCAGUUGGGUACAUCAGAUAACCUUAAUAACCCCCUAUUCCUGCUUCUUUCAUUAUCUUCUUGUUGUGAGUCUGUUAUACUGGUCCUUAACUUGUAAAUAUUAGAAGAUAACAUUAUUGUUUCAAAAAGAUUAUAGAUUACAUGGGUGUUUCUUUUUCUCUUUCUCUCUCUCUUUUUCUUUUUUCAGUAAAGUCGUGCUGUGGUGAAUAUUUUGUUGCUUGUAUUGCAGCCAUUGAAGAUGAUGCAAGAGUUUUUGAGAUUGAGACAAGAGAAUGAAGUCAACUUAAAAUGCUUACUCUUUUAUUUUUAUAUGUAUAAGCAUCAUUCAUCUUGUGUGCAAAUUUAUUUUUGAAGAUUAUUAUUCAUUGUAAUUUUAUGCGGUUGCAAUCCUGAGAUGAGAAAAUAAAUUAAUAUAUAUUUUUUGAAUUAAUGUUGAAUCAUAUUGUUUCUUAUCUUUUUAUGUGUUCGGAAUGUCGAACAGGAAAUGAAAUGUACAUUGUUUUUCUCUCUAAAAUUCAAAUUAACUUGCUUAUCUCCCUUUUAUAAGUGUGCAUUUGAUGUGCAAACUUCUAUAAUUCCUCUCCGUCGGAUUUCGUAGCUUUACAUCUAGUGGUUUCUCUUCCUUGAUAUUUGGUUAACAAUUGACUAUUUUUUUUUAUUGGUUUACAAAUUAAGAUUGCUUGUAAACUUACUAGAGGAUCUAUUUAAUUGAUGAAGUGAAUAUUAUUUAAUGAUUUUGUUAACUUAGAAUUCCUUGUAAAGUUCAAUCUUUUGGAAGACCAUUUCACCAUAUAGUGGGGUUUUAGGUUCACCUUUUGAUGCAGGAGGUUCCGAACUAAGUGAGGUCGAAAUAUUAGAUGGCACGUUGAUGGCAUUGAGAUAUUAUGAGAUGGCAGAUCGACGCAAAGAUAGAAAGUGAUUGCAUACUUUUUUUAAUUGGGGCAAUUUUGACACGUUUUGGUAAUUUUGCAAUAACUUUGGCUACAGUUAUCAAUUAUGACCCCUAUCCGAAAAACUCUUUUCGGCGCGAUGUGAUCAUGGUCAUCGUGGAUAGGUUCCAAUUGAGGAAGUCCCACACCGUGAUCGUAAUGUUCAGGAUGUGACGAGUGAAGAUUUGCAGAGACAAGUUACGGAGCUAACCCAACAUCGACGGAACAGGAGAUCCGUAAUCAUGAAGUGAAGGGUCAUGAUUCCAAUUCUAGUUUAGAAAAUCCAUAUCAUAAUUGUGCUCGAGUCUUGGAGGAUCGCCAUGGAGACCUUGGUUUCAACAUGGAUCUCCCUGAGUUUUCUAGUACAUUACAAGUCGAAGGUUUUAUUGAUUGGUUGAAUGAAGUGGAGUGAAUUUUUGAGUAUAAGGAGAUCCCAGAUCAUGUCAAAGUUAAAUUGGUCUCCAUCAAACUCAAUGGUAGAACUUCGGCAUAGUGGAAACAAUUGAGGCAUUCACAAGAGCAGAAGGGCAAGUCCAAUAUCACUGAUUGGGAAAAGAUGAAGAAAAAGAUGAAAGGUCAUUUUCUUCCUUUCAGCUACACUCGAACCUUGUUUCAACGUCUCCAUUCACUGAGAUAAGGCACAAGAUCGGUUAAUAAAUAUAUGGAAGAGUUCUAUCAGUUGGUAGUCUGGAAUAACAGAUGGUGGCAUGGUAUUUUAGAGGACUAAACCAGCCCUUGCAUGAUGUUCUCACCCUUUAUUCAUUGUCGACAACUUUUGAAGCAUACUAGAUGUACUUGCCAUGGAGAAGCAGCAAAAUAGGAGGCCAGUGGUCAAAGGUGAAAAUAGUCAGCCAAUUGGUCCUCAAGAACCCCUUCCUGCAUAUUAGCCUCCGUGGAACAAUUCUAGCUAAUAUGUCAAGUGUUUUAGAUGUGGUGAUCAAGGACAUAGGGCGACUGAUUGCAGGAAGUUGACUAGUCAGAAGAAUAAAAAUCUCUUGAUUGAGGAGGAUUUAGUAAGGAAAUUUUAGGAGGUUGGACAACAUGUAUAUGAUGAUGGUGAAGAUGAAGACAUGCUGUAUGGAGAUGGCCNUUUUCUGUUCAAAGACACCUUGGCAAUUUAUCUUUAAGUCCAUAAUAUAUCAUUUUUCUCCGCAUAAGAUUCUGAUGUAAUCAGAUACCCAAGUCAUUAUGGACCAAUUUAUUUUAUUUAAAUUUUACUUGAGUGAGCAAAAUAUUAUUCUGCCUCUCAACCAUACCGAUUGACAAAACAUUCCUUCCUAUCUCUUUUAAGUGUGUUAGGUAUAAUUUUUGGGAAAAGGAAAUGCAGCUGGGAUAAUGUUUUUGUUAUUCCAGAAUUUAGGAAGAAGUUAUGCUUUUCAAAUCUAAAAUGUAGACUUAACUGAUGCUGACAGAGUAUAAUAUAAAGGUGAACCCAAGUAAAAGUCCAAACCAAGCCCUGAUAUCAUGCAAGAUGAUGGGAUGGAAAUGGUCUUUCAAGAAUAUACACAAUACCAACCUGUUAACGAAUAGGGAUGAAUUUUUAAUCACAGUAAAACCAGGCACAGUUAGGUACCGUGAAACAAAGUGCUAAACAAUAAGCACGCAUUGAUUACCUUACUGAAGAAUUUUGAAAUGGACCUUCAAGUCAGGAAAACAAAUUGCCUCAUUUAGAAGUUAAUGUGCAGCUAGGAAAUUCUCCUGGACUCUUUUCUGAUGCACUUAAGAUGAUAUGAGCACGAAAUGCUAGGCCAGGUGCUAAAAAAUUGAUUGAGUGGAAACUUGCAGAAGAAAAUCUUCGCUGUUGGAUAUUUCUUUGAGAGCUCUAGCAGAGAACGCCUUGGGAAUCGUAUCACUUGAUCUGGUGCGAGAUAUGCUUAAGAAACAAUUGACUGAUUUGUUGUGUUAUAUCCGGAAAAUGGAUGUGCAUAUCUUGGACCUCUUAGUAAACAGAUGCCAUAAUAUGGCAAGAUAGGUAGUAAGUUAAUUUGAUUUGAAAAAAGCUUGGUGUUUGAGGCAUCAAUUUAUUAAGAUUUGACAUACAGACCAAAGGAUUCUUAUCGGUUUGACAUAAAUUUUAACCCUAAAGAACUUCCAUUGGGUUUAUAUAAACUUAAUAAACAAGAAUUUAUUUUUGAAGAUUAUUAUUCAUUAUAAUUUUAUGCUGUUGCAAUUCUGAAAUGAAAAAAUAAAUUAAUAUAUUUUUUUUAAUUACUAUUGAAUCAUAUUAUUUCUUUUUAUCUUUUUAUGCAAUUGGAAUGCCGAAAUGGAAAAUAAAUGUACAUUGUUCGAAUUUGUGCUCCAAAAGUUCUCUCUAAAAUUCAAAUUAAGUGUGCAUUGAAUGUGCAGAUUUCUAUAAUUAUAUUCCAUCAGAUUUCGUAGUUUUACAUCUACUGGUUUUUCUUCCCUGAUAUUUAUUUGGUUCACAGCUGACUAUUUUUUUUUUUUUAAUUGAUUUACAUAUUACAAUUACUUGUAAACUUAUUAGAGGAUCUAUUUAAUGGAUGAAGUUAAUAUUAUUUAAUGAUCUCAUUAACUUAGAAUUCCUUGUAAAGUUCAAUCUUUUUGAAGACCAAUUCGCAAUAUAGUUGGGUUUUAGGUUGACAUGCAUAUCUUUAUCAUUUCUAAAAUUAUGAACCUCCCGUAUGCAUAGAUAUGAAUUCACAAUGUCCAUGAUUUAAUGAAAAUUAUGACCCCCCCCCCCCCCAUGUGUACACAGUUAAGAGUGCUCUGUUCCAAAUUAUUUCUCUUACAGUAUUACAGUAAAUCGUUCGAAUUAGAGCUGAAUCAGAUUAUUCAUUUUAAUUUUAUGCCGUUGCAAUUUCAAAUGGGAAUAAUCUGAUAAACAUUGUUUAAAUUAGUGCUGACUCAUAUAUAUUAUUUCAUUUAUUCUUUCAUGCCAUUGGAAUGCCAAAACAGAAAAUAAAUAAAUGUUUGAACUUUAAAAUAGUGUUGAAUUAUAUUAUUUUGUUUAUUCUUUUUUACGUCAUUGGAAUACUGAAAGGAGAAAAAUUAAUGUAAAUUUUACAAUUUAGUGUUCUUGAUGAUUGAUGAUUUACAUUGCAUGUUGACUACUCAACAUUGGGUUUCGAAUAUUAAUGUUCAUCAUCAAAAUACUAGUGACAAAUACAAAGUAAAAUCAUUGGAAAGAAUUCAAAGUAAGUUUUUUGUGCAUCUCUUCUAUAUAUAUCUGUCUCAAUAAAAAACUCAGCAUCUAAGCAAUUCUUUUUUCUUUUUUCCUUUUUUUUUCUCUCUUUUUGCAAGGUCUGUGUGGAAUUCAAUGUUUUAUGAUUGAAAAGAGCUAUGGUGUUAAUUAAAAAAAUUAAUGUACAAAUUGUUAUGAUACCACCUCGUCAAGUUUCAUUGUUUUACAUUACUUGGAUAUUUCUCCCUUGAUAUUUUUAAAAAGCAAGCAUCUAUUUUUAUUGAUUCACAAAUGGCUAUAGUAUUUGGAAUGUUAAGGACAUGCAAGUCAAAUUGAAACCCAAAUGAAUGCAGAAUAUAUUUUUUAAAAGAUUGCAUUUUUGAAAUAUAUUUCCGUAGACAUUGAUAUUACUAGAACGAUUGAGUUUUAUUAGUGUAUAUGUUUAUUCACACUUUUGAUCAAUGCGUGCUUGCAUGAGCAGUUUUCCUAUGGCCUUUUGAUUUGAAAAUUUUCUUACAUGGUUGAUUAUUUAAAUGUAUCAUUAUUGGGAGCUGACAUAAAGGUAAACAAAAGGGGACCUUUAUUUCUUUAUCUUUUUCUUUAAUGGAAGAACCUUACUACAAGUACAACAAUUUUGACAUUAUGGUUAACAGUCCUCUCACAUACAAGAGGUGAGGCCCGCAAUUAAAAUAAUCACGGAUCCUAUGAUUGUGAGAGUACUGUAUGUGUACAACACUCUACACAGCAUUUUCAUUAAUGGAAUGUUGCUUCAUUCUUCUGCCUUUAUCGUCAAAUAGUUAAUUGAUUUUCCUGUAUUCACGUUAAAAAUUCACCUGGAACAGUUGUCAGCUUGACUGAAAUUCAAGUCAAGAUUAAAUAAUUGCUGUGUGCAUACGUGUGUGUGUGUGUGUAUAUAUAUACUUCUUUUUUUUUUUUUUUUUUUUUGGGGAACGAAAUGUAUAAGUAAUCAUUUCUAUCCUAGUCCAAAAAAUCAUGUUGCUAUUGUUGCAACUCAAUUAUAGAGUUUUUGUAUGGAUAGUCCUAUAAAUUUAUAAAUUUGCUUUUGAUACAAUACAUAUAUAGAAACACAAGCUCAAGCAUAUGUAUAUACAAGGUUAAUUGCUUUUAACAUUUCAAAAUUGUGUCACUGUGCUUAUGAUGUGAAUCACAUUGGACAAUAUGAGACUGAGGCAAUAAAAGUAGAAUUUCAAUAGUGGUAGACUCAACCAUGGAGUGCUUUCUAUCUGGAUUUAAUGGCAGAUGGCUACGUCCUACUGAAGGUGAAGAGUGUGAUCCUCCAAACUAAAGAAUGAAGAGAAUGACAAUUCUCUGUUGGGCAACAUCAUACAACCUUCACAACCUCCUGUUCUCUGACUAUUGAAUCCAGAGCUUCUUCCUAUAUAUCCAUCAAUAGUUGCUGAUCCAAGGCCUUGACCUUCAAAACUUUCUCAAAAUGGGUUGCCCAGUUCCGUCCCCUUUCAUGAUCAUCAUGUUAUAAGUCUGCUAAACUGGUCCUUAACUUGUAAAUAUUAGACUUUUGAAAUAUUUAAGAUUACACGUGUAAGUUGUGUUGUGGGCGAAUAUGAUGCUAAAUUAGUUUGCUUGUAUUGCAGCCAUUGAAGAUGAUGUAAGAGGUAUUGGGAUUGGCACAAGGAACUGAAUUCAAUUUGAAAUGCUACCUCUUUUAUUUUUAUAUGUAUAAACAUCACUCAUCUGAAAUUCACUCAUUCGAAGGAAGCACAAUAAAUAAUCUUUAAUUACAAUAUUCCAGUGGUAGGGACAAUAGAUCAGUUGAUAAAAUUUAGAUUGCAUAAUAAUAUAAGAUAAGUCAUAAAUAAAGUACGUUGGAGAACUUCCUAUACUCUCAACUACGAGCAUCAUGAUAAAUGUUGCAAUCUUCCCAACUUCGUAGAGUUAAUUGCUGCAAUUUACGACGUCUAAGAUGGCGUACAAAUUAAUCAUCAUCAGCUGUUUGACGUGAAGUCAUUGUAUUAUCAUUAGCAAACAAGUCCUAGAAAAGGGAAUGCAUUUUCCAUCACUAUUUGUGAUUGAAUCUUGAUUCUUCUAAUUGUUGUGUGUGAUAUUGGGGUGGCACACAAUGUGACAAGUAAAUGUGAUUGGUGAAUGAAUGAAACAUAACCCUCAUCAGUGUACAAAAUAUCAAAGGAGAAAAAAUCUGGAGAAGUAAAAUUAUAAAACCUCUCUAGUUGUAUUAUAACAAUUCGUGUAUCAAAUGCACGUCUGUGUAAAAAUGAGAUAAACAUGUUAAUUCCAAUUUGUAGAGAACCUUCGGAACUAUAUCGGAAGCAUUUGCAAUCAAUCUGAAUUUUCCAUCGACUUUAAAGUUUUCCAAUUGCGUCUCCCGAGGAAUGUUGCAGCCAAAUUCAAUUUCUAUAACAAGCGUUGGUGCUUUUAGAUGCUAUCAUCUAUUCUAAGUUUGUCUGAACAAACUGCUAUGUUCACUUGUCUCUGCAGAUAUUGCUUUGCUAAGUUUCGUUUGAAAAUAAUUUCUUAAUGGGAGAUCAAAUCAUUCAAUUUUAUUAAGUUUCAUGAAUUAGUGCUUUGAUGUGCUGAAAAUUUUGCAGAUCUCUCAGUUUACUUCUUCCAAAGCAGGAAAAAUUGUUACUGAUCUCUCAGUUUACUACUUCCAAAGGGUCUUCACGAUGACUGCAUGGGGCCAAGAGCUGUGAUAGAGGUAAACACCAUGAAACUUCAUUUCCUAAUUUGCUUGAUCUUUUCCUUUUAAUGAGAGUCAUAUCAUUCUGCCACCUUUAUCUUCAAAUAAUUAAUUAAUUUUCUUGUACCCAGGUUAAAUAUCUAACUGUACUGCUGUCAGUUUGAUUAAAAUGCAAGGUUCUGUCAAGACUAAAUAAUCGUUGUUUGCGUGUGUGUAUUUUCUUUUCUUUAUUCUCUUGGGAUAAGUGUGUAAGCUAAUCAUUUUUAUCUUAGUCGAAAAAAUUAUGAAAAUCACAUAAAAUUAUAGAGUUUUAGUAUGGAAAGUCGCAUAAAUUCACUAGCUCAAACAACAGUAUAGACAAUGUUAAUUGCUUUUAACAUUUCAAAACUGUGUCACUAUGUUUAUAACCUGAAGCAGAUUGGGCAAUACGAGUCUGUAGCAGUAAAAAAUAGCGUUUCAAUGGUUGUAGACCUAACAACAGAGUGCUUUCUGUUUGUGUUUAUUGGUAGAUUGCUGCAUCCUACCGGAGGUAGAGUGUGAUCCUCCACUCAAGAAUAAACUGGAGAAUGACAAUUCUCAGUUGGGUACAUCAGAUAACCUUAAUAACCCCUAGUUCCUGCUUCUUUCAUUAUCUUCUUGUUGUGAGUCUGUUAUACUGGUCCUUAACUUGUAAAUAUUAGAAGAUAACAUUAUUGUUUCAAAAGGAUUAUAGAUUACAUGGGAGUCUCUCUCUCUCUCUCUCUCUCUCUCUCUCUCUCUCUCUCUCUUUCAGUAAAGUCGUGCAGUGGUGAAUAAUUUUUUUGCUUGUAUUGCAGCCACUGAAGAUGAUGGAAGAGUUUUUGAGAUUGAGACGAGAAUGAAGUCAAUUUAAAAUGCUUACUCUUUUAUUUUUAUAUGUAUAAACAUCAUUCAUUUUGUGUGCAAAUUUAUUUUUGAAGAUUAUUAUUCAUUGUAAUUUUAUGCGGUUGCAAUCCUGAGAUGAAAAAAUAAAUUAAUAUAUAUUUUUUGAAUUAAUGUUGAAUCAUAUUGUUUCUUAUCUUUUUAUGUGAUCAGAAUGUCGAAAAGGAAAUGAAAUGUACAUUGUUUUUCUCUCUAAAAUUCAAAUUAACUUGCUUAUCUCCCUAUUAUAAGUGUGCAUUUAAUGUGCAAACUUCUAUAAUUCCUCUCCGUCGGAUUUCGUAGUUUUACAUCUAGUGGUUUCUCUUCCUUGAUAUUUGGUUCACAAUUGAAUAUUUUUUUUUAUUGAUUUACAAAUUACGAUUGCUUGUAAACUUACUAGAGGAUCUAUUUAAUUGAUGAAGUUAAUAUUAUUUAAUGAUUUCGUUAACUUAGAAUUCCUUGUAAAGUUCAAUCUUUUGGAAGACCAUUUCACCAUAUAGUGGGGGUUUUAGGUUCACCUUUUGAUGCAGGAGAUUCCGAACCAAGUGAGGGCGAAAUAUUAGAUGGCACGUUGAUGGCAUUGAGAUAUUAUGAGAUGACAGAUCGACGCAAAGAUAGAAAGUGAUUGCAUACUUACCUUAAUUGGGGCAAUUUUGACACGUUUUGGUAAUUUUGCAAUAACUUGGCUACAGUUAUCCAUUAUGACCCCUAUCCGGAAAGCUCUUUUCAGCGCGAUGUGGUCAUGGUCAUCAUGGAUAGGUUCCGAUUAAGGAAGUCCCACACCGUGAUCGUAAUGUUCAGGAUGUGACGAUUGAAGAUUUGCAGAGACAAGUUGCGGAGCUAACCUAAUAUCGGCGGCACAGGAGAUCGGUAAUCAUGAAGUGAAGGGUCAUGAUUCCAAUUCUAGUUUAGAAAAUCCAUAUCAUAAUUGUGCUCGAGUCUGGGAGGAUCGCCAUGGAGACCUCGGUUUCAAAGUGGAUCUCCCUGAGUUUUCUAGUACGUUACAGGUCGAAGGUUUUAUUGAAGUGGAGCGAAUUUUUGAGUAUAAGGAGAUCCCAGAUCAUGUCAAAGUUAAAUUGGUCUCCAUCAAACUCAAUGGUAGAACUUCUGCAUAGUGGAAACAAUUGAGGCAUUCACGAGAGCAGAAGGGCAAGUCCAAUAUCACUGAUUGGGAAAAGAUGAAGAAAAAGAUGAAAGGUCAUUUUCUUCCUUUCAGCUACACUCGAACCUUGUUUCAACGUCUCCAUUCGCUGAGAUAAGGCACAAGAUCGGUUAAUGAAUAUACGGAAGAGUUCUAUCAGUUGGUAGCUUGGAAUGAUUUAUCUAAGAUGCAAUAACAGAUGGUGGCAUGGUAUUUUGGACGACUAUCUCAGCCUUUAUUCAUUGUGGACAGCUUCUGAAGCAUACUAGAUGCACUUGCUUUGGAAAAGCAGCAAAAUAGGAGGCCAAUGGUCAAAGGUGAAAAUAGUCAGCCAGUUGGCCCUCAAGAACCCCUUCCUGCAUAUUAGCCACCGUGGAACAAUUCUAGCUAAUGUGUCAAGUGUUUCAGAUGUGGUGAUCAAGGACAUAGGGCGAUUGAUUACAGAAAGUCGGCUAGUCAGAAGAAUAAAAAUCUCUUGAUUGAGGAGGAUUUAGUAAGGAAAUUUUAGGAGGUUGGACAACAUGUAUAUGAUGAUGGUGAAGAUGAAGACAUGCUGUAUGGAGAUGGCCUGAGACUCUAGUCAUGCGUAAGAGUCUACUAACUCCCAAGGGAGAUUUAGGAGAUGUUUAGUUGAGGACAAAUGUUUUCCACACGACCAGUACAGUUGUCGAUAAAGUUUGCAAGUUGAUCAAUUACAGUGGCAAUUGUGAGAAUAUAGUAUUUGAAGAGGCUGUCCAGAAAUUGUACCUAAAGAUAGAUCGUCACCCAAGCUGUACAAGUUAUCAUAGUUGAAUAAAGGCAGUGAGGUAACAGUAGAAAAAUAGCGUCUGGUGUCUUUUUCAAUCGGCAUGAAAUUUUUUGAUAAUGCUUGGUGUGAUGUUGUGUCUAUGGAUGCCUGUCAUGUAUUGUUGGAAUAAACUUGGUAGUAUGAUCGCAUGUUAUUCAUGAUGGACGAAAGAAUAAAUAUUCCCUUAGCAUUAAAGGGAAGAAGAUUGUGUUGGCACCUCGUAGGGAAGAAACUAUCCAUGCCCCAAUAGUUAAUAAUACCAACUUCUUUUCCAUGUCUAGGUUUCUAUUUGAGAUUGGGCGUGAAGAUGUAGCCUAUGCUUUACUACCUUGUGAGAAUAGUGCAGUGAAUGGGGAUUUAGACUUACCAGCAAAAGUGCAGCAGCUACUAACGGAGUUCUUUGACCUGAUGCUAGAAGAUCUUCCUCCGAGGUUACCAUAUGAGGGAUAUUCAACAUCAUAUCAACCUUAUUUUGAGGUCGAGUUUGCCUAAUCGACUAGCAUAUUGCCUCAACCCCAAGAAAGCUGAAGAGUUACAUCGACAGGUGGUGGAAUUGUUAGAGAGGGGCUACAUUCGUGACAAUAUGAGUCCACGUAUUGUUCUUGCUCUACUAGUACUGAAGAAAGAUGGAUCUUGGAGAAUGUGUAGACAACAGAGCAAUCAACAAUAUUAUAGUGAAGUACAAGUUUCCAAUUCCCUUCCUAGAUGAUAUGUUGGAUUAGUUGUCCUGUUCUAAGGUCUUCUCAAAAAUUGACCUUAAAAGCUAAUAUCACCAAAUCAGAGUAAGGCUUGGAGAUGAAUGGAAGACGACGUUCAAGGCGCAGCAUACAUUGUACGAGUGGAUGGUCAUGCCGUUUGGACUAUCCAAUGCACCAAGCACUUUUAUGAUGUUUAUGCAUCAGAUGUUAUGGCCUUUCAUGGGGAAGUUUGUAGUAGUAUACAUAAAGGAAGGUACAUUCUCAAUGGCUUUCAGAGGUUACUGAUGAUUGAGGCAGGUUGAACAAAAAACACAAGACGAAUACAAGAACAAAGUGCUCUUGGCGAUCCAUAGAAAAUAGACAAUUCCUAAAGAUUGGGAACACGUGUGAGUGAAGCACGUUCUAACAGGGCUUGGAGAUUGCAGGAAUUAGGUCAACGAGUCUAGUGGAUUUUCUAGGCUGGAUAGCACUGUAAUUUCUUAUUGUAGUGGAGGUCAUUAGCUUAGUCUCGAAGUUUUUAAUCCUGCAAGGGGUUUUCUUCAUCAAGAAUUCUCCUGUAUUAUUUAUUUUCCUACAAAUUUAUUAAACUAUGAUAAUUCAACAUAGGAUAGUGUACAUGUGAAUUCAUGAAGAUUAAUUAAUAAGUGAAUUGUUGCUGUUAAUUAAUAAUUUUAAUUCCUUUGUUUUCACCUGUUCACCCGAUAUUAUGGUUAAACUAGUAAUUUUCUUUUAGUUUGCAAGUGAUGCUAGAAAAAUUGUAAACACAUAACAAAUGAAAAACUGAAGUUUGGGUCACUAUUAGUGAAACGAAAUGAGUUUAUUUGAGGAGUGUUUCCUAGACACACCUUUUAAAGACCUUUACAAUAAAUCUUUCUUUGUGAUCAAAUUGUAGGAUGUUCUAGAUGUCUUGCAAAGCAAUUCACUCUUUGAAGAAAGUAAGGUUGCAAUAUGUACCUUAUUUCGUUUAUUGUUUUAUCUGUUGGAGUUGGGGUCUAGAUAUUUUUUACAUGCAAUUACUCUAAACUAGAAGUAGAAAGAUAGGGAUAUUUGGUGUAGAGCACCCAGAUACUUUCCAUGCACAUCUUUUGUGCAAACAGAGCCGGUCCUGUGAUUUAUGAGCCCUGAGGCGAAGUGUGUAAAGUAGGCCCCCCAACGAAAGCAAUUUAAAUACAAA
rnacentral:lncRNA from 1 species